CAGCAUCAGCUGAUAGACCUGAGGCCUGUCUUUGUGGCUUCUUGGUUUGCAAACUGGUGCAAUAGCGACAGUUCUCCCGCUUCCCGCCAGCCCCAGACCGUGGCAGGUCGGAUAGUACCAGAGGACAACAUCG